rnacentral:misc_RNA from 1 species
GAAAUGCGAUAAGUAAUGUGAAUUGCAAAAUUCAGUGAAUCAUCGAAUCUUUGAACGCACAUUGCGCCUAUUAGUAUUCUAGUAGGCAUGCCUGUUCGAGCGUCAUUUCAACCCUCAAGCCCUGGUUGCUUGGUGUUGGGAGCUUGCUGUGAAACGCAACUCCUCAAAGCUAGCUGGCAGAGUCGGGAUGCACUCUAAGCGUAGUAAACUUGAUAGUCUCGCUUCUGCAGUUGUCCCGGCCGUCUUGCCAUACAAGCCCAAACUUUUUUGUUUUCUAUGGUUGACCUCGGAUCAGGUAGGAAUACCCGCUGAACUUAAGC